rnacentral:misc_RNA from 1 species
AAUAUGUAGUGCAAACUCUAUAUGCGUAGUGGAAACUUGGAAAUUACCGUUGGAUCGAAAAAUGGACGUUCGAGAUUCGUCCACGUCAUCAUGAGUUAAAAUUUUACUCUAAGUGAAUCUGCAAGUAAAAUUUUUACCCGUGAUGAUGUGGACUAAUAUCAUACGUCUAUUUUUUUUAUUCAACGGUAGUUUCCAGGUUUACAUUUUAUAUACGUAGUUUCCACAUUAUAUUUUCUCGCC